CCAGCACCUGCGGUAAUUCCAGCUCCAAUAGCGUAUAUUAAAGUUGUUGCAGUUAAAAAGCUCGUAGUUGAAUUUAUGAUACGGUACGCCUGGUCCGCCCCGUUAAGGUGUGUGAGUGCCGGCGCGUACCUAUCAUCCUUCUGCGGACUGCGUCUACCCUUGAUUGGGCCGGGCGUAGGACGUAGAUCGUUUACUUUGAAAAAAUUAGAGUGUUUCAAGCAGGCUUAUGCCUUGAAUACAUUAGCAUGGAAUAAUAAGAUAGGGCUUUGGUUCUAUUUUGUUGGUUUCUAGGACUGAAGUAAUGAUUGAUAGGGAUAGUUGGGGGUGCUAGUAUUGAACGGCCAGAGGUGAAAUUCUUGGAUUCGUUCAAGACUAACUAAUGCGAAAGCAUUCACCAAGG
rnacentral:rRNA from 1 species